rnacentral:lncRNA from 1 species
GUGUGUGUGAAAUACAUUAUUUCUUAAAGUCCAUUUCAGUGGAAGGCCAGAGGAUGAGUAUAUCUGUUUAGCAGGUAAACAAUGUGAAUCAGUGUCCACAUCAGGCCUGUAGUUAGGUCUCUGUGUCCAUGGAAGGGACCCCACAUUGACCAAGUGUUUAACAGAACCUUUACAUCAGUUUUAUUGCUAUGAGUUUAAUGUUGAGAGGAUUACGUCAGACCAAAGGAGAGCUUUAGACCCACCCUUUAUUCUAACGAUGUUCCUGAAGCAGUGCUGAAGAUUUUUUUUUUUCUGGAUUUUUCUGGAUCUUGGCUAGUCAAGGUUUAGGUGUCAUUUAACUGGGACCACAUGCUCAUCAUCCCUCUGGUGCAAAUUAGAGAGUUCAUGUUGAUUUAGACUAACUUUAAUGUCUGCCUGGGUGUUUACCAGGCUGUGAACCAGUGAGUGCCUUGUUAGUGUAGCGUGAUUUACCCGUUGUGCGUUAGGUCUUUCUGAGGGUCUCAGACUGAGCUUCGAGCUGGCUGUGGCGAGCUGCGGAGAUUAGGAACGCAGCAUUAGGAGGUCUUCGGUCUGCCAUGUCCACUCCCCUGCUUUCUCUUCAGUGUUUGGCUGGUGUUGGCCCUUGUGAGAAAACAAGUAGAGCCCUCUUCACACUUUUUUUCUUUUUUAUUCCCGAUUGAGGAGUGUCCCCCAUUCCCACCCCGGCUAUAUGAUCAAAUGCCUGUUUUAGGAAGAACCACUUCUUUGUAAUACUAAAACCUACCACUUACCUUAUGUCUUCUCAGUAUCAGUUUACUGGAGCGGAUCUCAGGGUGUCAUCAGUUCAGAUUCCUAAAUAACCCGUUCCCUCCAGCCCAAACCCCAACUGGUGAGCCCUGAGCCAGAUCGUUUGAUAUUCAGGUAUCUUCAACUUUAGUUACAAUAUCAAUUAAUGUAAAUCCAAAUGCGGAUUCGUGUGGUGCAAGCAGUGUCUUUGUAAAUCCAGGGUGUGGAUAAGCUAACUGAUAUCCAGUUUUGGUGGCUCUAAGUGUAUUAUUUGUUUUUAAAUAAAGUGUACAAACAUAGUC